AACCUUUACACUGCACGACAGUGCGAUAGGGGGACUCCGAGUGUGAGGGCAUAUAGCCCUCGCUUUUCUGUACCGUAAGGUGGUACAGGAACAAGGACUGGGCAAGACCGGUGCCAGCCGCCGCAGUAAUACCGGCAGUCCGAGUGAUGGCCGAUAUUAUUGGGCCUAAAGCGUCCGUAGCUUGCUGUGUAAGUCCAUUGGGAAAUCGACCAGCUCAACUGGUCGGCGUCCGGUGGAAACUACACAGCUUGGGGCCGAGAGACUCAACGGGUACGUCCGGGGUAGGAGUGAAAUCCUGUAAUCCUGGACGGACCACCAAUGGGGAAACCACGUUGAGAGACCGGACCCGACAGUGAGGGACGAAAGCCAGGGUCUCGAACCGGAUUAGAUACCCGGGUAGUCCUGGCUGUAAACAAUGCUCGCUAGGUAUGUCACGCGCCAUGAGCACGUGAUGUGCCGUAGUGAAGACGAUAAGCGAGCCGCCUGGGAAGUACGUCCGCAAGGAUGAAACUUAA
rnacentral:rRNA from 1 species